AAUGAACGCUGGCGGCGUGCCUAAUACAUGCAAGUCGAGCGAAUGGAUUAAGAGCUUGCUCUUAUGAAGUUAGCGGCGGACGGGUGAGUAACACGUGGGUAACCUGCCCAUAAGACUGGGAUAACUCCGGGAAACCGGGGCUAAUACCGGAUAACAUUUUGAACCGCAUGGUUCGAAAUUGAAAGGCGGCUUCGGCUGUCACUUAUGGAUGGACCCGCGUAGCAUUAGCUCGUUGGUGAGGUAACGGCUCACCAAGGCAACGAUGCGUAGCCGACAUGAGAGGGGGAUCGGCCACACUGGGACAGAGACACGGCCCAGCCACCUACGGGAGGCAGCAGUAGGGAAUCUUCCGCAAUGGACGAAAGUCUGACGGAGCAACGCCGCGUGAGUGAUGAAGGCUUUCGGGUCGUAAAACUCUGUUGUUAGGGAAGAACAAGUGCUAGUUGAAUAAGCUGGCACCUUGACGGUACCUAACCAGAAAGCCACGGCUAACUACGUGCCAGCCGCCGCAGUAA
rnacentral:rRNA from 1 species